rnacentral:snRNA from 1 species
AGUUAUUUCUGAACCAAUUUCAC